rnacentral:lncRNA from 1 species
AGUUGAGUGCGCAUUUCCUUAGUGAAAUCACUUUUCCCUGCAUUGAUUCAAGUACUUCAAUUUUAUCCUGAUCUACUUGUAAUCCCUUGCAGAUGUUUCGUUUCCCCGCCUGAGUCUUUCCAUUUUAUGGAAUUCCUCUAGUUUGCCCAUCAGUUUUAAGUCGUAGCCUGGCCUACGCGUAACCUUUUAUCCCCCUAGAGUCUUUGUCUCCCCAGUGAGUUUUCCUCACGGAAAGCGUUAUACUCCUGUGGAUCUUCGGUCU